rnacentral:rRNA from 1 species
CCCUUAGAUGUUCUGGGCCGCACGCGCGCUACACUGACGAAUGCAACGAGCUUAUAACCUUGGCCGAAAGGUCUGGGUAAUCUCCAAAUUUCGUCGUGAUGGGGAUAGAUUAUUGCAAUUAUUAAUCUUCAACGAGGAAUGCCUAGUAAGCGCAAGUCAUCAGCUUGCGUUGAUUACGUCCCUGCCCUUUGUACACACCGCCCGUCACUCCUACCGAUUGAAUGGUCCGGUGAAGCGUUCGGACCGUGGCCUUUGGACGGUUCGCCGUCUGUUGGCUGCGGGAAGUUCGUUAAACCUUAUCAUUUAGAGGAAGGAGAAGUCGUANCA